rnacentral:rRNA from 1 species
AAAAUGACUCUCGGCAACGGAUAUCUCGGCUCUCGCAUCGAUGAAGAACGCAGCGAAAUGCGAUACUUGGUGUGAAUUGCAGGAUCCCGCGAACCAUCGAGUCUUUGAACGCAAGUUGCGCCCGAAGCCUUCUGGCCGAGGGCACGUCUGCCUGGGUGUCACGC